ACCCGUCUAGCUCAGUCGGUAGAGCGCUGGCCUUUUGAGCCAGUGGUCGUGGGUUCGAUUCCCCACGGGGGGUG
rnacentral:tRNA from 1 species